GCUUGUCUCAAAGAUUAAGCCAUGCAUGUCUAAGUAUAACUCUUUUACUUUGAAAACUGCGAACGGCUCAUUAUAUCAGUUAUAGUUUCUUUGAUAGUCCCUUACUACUUGGAUACCCGUAGUAAUUCUAGAGCUAAUACAUGCAUCAAUACCCAACUGUUCGCGGAAGGGUAGUAUUUAUUAGGUAUAGACCAACCCUCUUCGGAGGUGCUUUGGUGAUUCAUAAUAACCAAGCGAAUCGUCGGUUUACCGACGAUAGAUCGUUCAAGUUUCUGACCUAUCAGCUUUGGUCGGUAGGGUAUUGGCCUACCGAGGCAAUGACGGGUAACGGAGAAUUAGGGUUCGAUUCCGGAGAGGGAGCCUGAGAAACGGCUACCACAUCUAAGGAAGGCAGCAGG
rnacentral:rRNA from 1 species